CCAGCAUCCAAACUCUAGAGUACAAAACAUAUAGAACACUCACCCUUAGCAAACUAAAGGGACUUGUGUUUAGUGGUUAGAGCAGUCGGCUGAUGGCUAAAUGGUUGCAGGUCCCAGGUUCAAAACCUGUGGUAGCCGACAUUUUGGUGUUUUUUGAAUUUUUUUUAUCCAAUCGUACGUGGGGCUAUAACUAGGUUGUUUUUUUGAAAUUUUUUCAUCCAAUCCUACAUGGGGCUAUAACUAGGG
rnacentral:lncRNA from 1 species